ACAGGAAGAAGCUUGCUUCUUUGCUGACGAGUGGCGGACGGGUGAGUAAUGUCUGGGAAACUGCCUGAUGGAGGGGGAUAACUACUGGAAACGGUAGCUAAUACCGCAUAACGUCGCAAGACCAAAGAGGGGGACCUUCGGGCCUCUUGCCAUCGGAUGUGCCCAGAUGGGAUUAGCUAGUAGGUGGGGUAACGGCUCACCUAGGCGACGAUCCCUAGCUGGUCUGAGAGGAUGACCAGCCACACUGGAACUGAGACACGGUCCAGACUCCUACGGGAGGCAGCAGUGGGGAAUAUUGCACAAUGGGCGCAAGCCUGAUGCAGCCAUGCCGCGUGUAUGAAGAAGGCCUUCGGGUUGUAAAGUACUUUCAGCGGGGAGGAAGGGAGUAAAGUUAAUACCUUUGCUCAUUGACGUUACCCGCAGAAGAAGCACCGGCUAACUCCGUGCCAGCAGCCGCGGUAAUACGGAGGGUGCAAGCGUUAAUCGGAAUUACUGGGCGUAAAGCGCACGCAGGCGGUUUGUUAAGUCAGAUGUGAAAUCCCCGGGCUCAACCUGGGAACUGCAUCUGAUACUGGCAAGCUUGAGUCUCGUAGAGGGGGGUAGAAUUCCAGGUGUAGCGGUGAAAUGCGUAGAGAUCUGGAGGAAUA
rnacentral:rRNA from 1 species